rnacentral:rRNA from 1 species
UACGUAGGGGGCAAGCGUUGUCCGGAUUUAUUGGGCGUAAAGAGCGUGUAGGCGGUUAGGUAGGUCCGUUGUGAAAACUCGAGGCUCAACCUCGAGACGCCGAUGGAAACCAUCUGACUAGAGUCCGGAAGAGGAGAGUGGAAUUCCUGGUGUAGCGGUGAAAUGCGUAGAUAUCAGGAGGAACACCGGUGGUGUAGACGGCUCUCUGGACCGUAACUGACGCUGAGACACGAAAGCGUGGGUAGCAAACAGG